rnacentral:rRNA from 1 species
UGGGGAAUAUUGGACAAUGGGCGCAAGCCUGAUCCAGCCAUGCCGCGUGAGUGAUGAAGGCCUUAGGGUUGUAAAGCUCUUUCGCCGGUGAAGAUAAUGACGGUAACCGGAGAAGAAGCCCCGGCUAACUUCGUGCCAGCAGCCGCGGUAAUACGAAGGGGGCUAGCGUUGCUCGGAAUCACUGGGCGUAAAGCGCACGUAGGCGGAUCGUUAAGUCAGGGGUGAAAUCCUGGAGCUCAACUCCAGAACUGCCCUUGAUACUGGCGAUCUCGAGUUCGAGAGAGGUUGGUGAACUCCGAGUGUAGAGGUGAAAUUCGUAGAUAUUCGGAAGAACACCAGUGGCGAAGGCGGCCAACUGGCUCGAUACUGACGCUGAGGUGCGAAAGCGUGGGGAGCAAAACAGGAUUAGAUACCCUGGUAGUCCACGCCGUAAACGAUGGAUGCUAGCCGUUGGGGGGUUUGACCUCUCAGUGGCGCAGCUAACGCCUUAAGCAUCCCGCCUGGGGAGUACGGUCGCAAGAUUAAAACUU